AACGAACGCUGGCGGCAGGCCUAACACAUGCAAGUCGAACGAACCUUUUAGGUGAGUGGCGCACGGGUGCGUAACACGUGGGAAUCUACAUCUCGGUAAGGAAUAACUCAGAGAAAUUUGGGCUAAUACCUUAUAAUGACUCCGGUCCAAAGAUUUAUCGCCGAGGGAUGAGCCCGCGCUAGAUUAGUUUGUUGGUGAGGUAAAAGCUCACCAAGACUACGAUCUAUAGCUGGUCUUAGAGGAUGAUCAGCCACACUGGUACUGAGACACGGACCAGACUCCUACGGGAGGCAGCAGUGAGGAAUAUUGCGCAAUGGAGGAAACUCUGACGCAGCCAUGCCGCGUGAGUGAAGAAGGCCCUAGGGUUGUAAAGCUCUUUCAGAUGCGAAGAUAAUGACGGUAACAUCAGAAGAAGCUCCGGCUAAAUUCG
rnacentral:rRNA from 1 species